rnacentral:rRNA from 1 species
GGGCCGCCGGGAAUACUGCAUAGCUAGGGAGUGGGAGAGGUAGACGGUACUCCGUAGGAAGGGGUAAAAUCCUUUGAUCUAUGGAUGACCACCUGUGGCGAAGGCGGUCUACCAGAACACGUUCGACGGUGAGGGAUGAAAGCUGGGGGAGCAAACCGGAUUAGAUACCCGGGUAGUCCCAGCUGUAAACUAUGCAAACUCAGUGAUGCAUUGGCUUGUGGCCAGUGCAGUGCCGCAGAGAAGUCGUUAAGUUUGCCGCCUGGGAAGUACGUACGCAAGUAUGAAACUUAAAGGAAUUGGCGGGGGAGCACCACAAGGGGUGAAGCCUGCGGUUCAAUUGGAGUCAACGCCAGAAAUCUUACCCGGAGAGACAGCAGGAUGAAGGUCAAGCUGAAGACUUUACCAGACAAGCUGAGAAGUGGUGCAUGGCCGUCGCCAGCUCGUGCCGUGAGGUGUCCUGUUAAGUCAGGUAACGAGCGAGAUCCUUGCCUCUAGUUGCCACCAUUACUCUCAGGAGUAGUGGGGCGAAUUAGCGGGACUGCCGUAGUUAAUACGGAGGAAGGAGAGGGCCACGGCAG